rnacentral:lncRNA from 1 species
GUCGUGACGAAGGCUGGUUGACGCCGUCACGAUGUCCCUCAAAUUCUUCGUUCGUCGGGAGUGUCGUGACGAUGAGUCACGAUUCUAAAUAUGGAAUGUCACAAGUAGCAACACCGAAACGGAAGCCCGCUAAUUUUUCUAUCAAUGGAGAAGUAAUCCGUAUCCAUGAGGUGAAAGGAAAGGUGUAAGGAAAGCCAUAUUGAGGAUCUGAUCACUGACAUAGGAACCUAUGAGUGAGUAAGAGUUACAUCCUAUCUACACAUACUGACUGGUAUUCGCGACGUCAGUCUAGUAUGUGUGCAUUCACAUCCCUACAAUAGAUUCAUAAUUCUUUGAUUAUAUACAUAAUUAUAGAUAGAUAUACACAAGUGUAAAAGAGUCGUCGCGACAUGGAGAUGCUGGGAUAUUAAUGUCAGUCAGAUCUAAGAGUGGUAAAUGUGGCUUUCCUUCUCCUUUAUUUAUUCUGUUAUGAUGAUGUUUACAAUUCAUAUGUGAUAGCAUUAUAAUUGGCAUUUGCUUGGUUAUAAAUAAGAAUAUCCAUGUGUAAAUGAGGCUGUAAGCUACCUAAAUAAAAUGAGUAGAAAAUAAUAUACAUGACAAGAGUUGUAAAGGCAUAUAAGACAAGUUUUAUGAUGAAAAUGAAUAAAUGUUCAAAAUUGGUCAUCUGACAGUAAUACUGUAAAAGGGCACUAGAUGGCGGCACUGGUCUAUAUUCGUGGUUAUUACGAACGAAAAUAAAAAGAAAUCUGAGGUGAAACCAUAAUUCUAGACACGAUGACAUUCUAGAAUGAUUACGAAGAUUCAUAUUUUGGUUAAAUAUGUGCUGUCUGACAGAAAAGGUACGUAAAAGAGUUCUGUUGUAGAAAAAUUAUACGAAAAUUUGAUGAAUGAAACGACGCCAUUGUGGUAGAAAGCGGCGAAACAAGUUAUGAUCAAAUGAUGUUUUAUUUACGAGAUAUUGUGUUUGUUUGUGUUGAAAUUCAUUAUAGAAAAUGAUUUUAUGAUUUAUAAUGUUGUUUACAUUUAUUUGUGUUCCCAAAUGACGUGAAUUUAUGAUUAUUGGUGUGUAAACAAACUACACCGGAAAUACUAUUUCUGUUUCGCGAGAACGAGAGAGAAAGAACCUCAGUGUUGCUGUUUAAUAAAAUGAUCCCGAUUGUGGGUAAAAUAUUUACGAGUGGGUAAAUAAUAUUAAGUUGAAGUUCAUAAUUUUGUAUGAAAUUCUUGGUUGUUGUAAAUUGAAUUACGUAUAAAUAAGAAGAAAAAAUUGUGUGUAUUAUUUAAUGGUAUACGCUAUUAAUGGAGAGUUAAGAAAUCAACAUAAUAUUUUUUAAGGUAUAUUCACGAGAGAGGAAUAUUUCAACGUGAUGUUGGCAACAUUACUUUGCUCGUUUUCUUCAGAAAAGUUUGACAUAGAGAGAUUGAAAAGUUCUUAUUUUAAAUAAAAUACCUUGUGAUAAGAGUUAAAUAGUGAAUAGUUUCAUAGUUUGUGAUUGGAUUUACUUGCUAAGAAUCUUGUUGGCAUAUACCGGUCUACUUACGAAUGAUGGAGUCAUUGCUAAUUUCUAGACUCCAAGAUAUAAUAAAUCAUAUCGAGAUUGUGACGAAACAGUGCGAAACAUUCUUACAAAAGGAAAUAAGUGAUAUUGACAAACAGCAAGCAGAAAUUGCUACCAAGAAAUUGGAAAAUCUUCAUUCUCGUUUUUCAACUGAAUUAAACAAUUAUUUUCGGUUGAGUAUCGAACCAUCUGCUGAUGACAUCUCAAUGUUUAGUGCUAUUCAAUUAAAUUCCGAGGAAAUUCUCAUAGAGUUGACCAUAAAGUUAAAAGAUUUGCGUGUAGACCGAAGUGAACGGUCAAAUAAAGCUACUUAUAGUGAAUUACCAAAAUUGAACUUACCUGAGUUUAGUGGUGAUGUGUUGCAAUGGCAACAGUUCUGGGACCAUUUCACAUCAAAUAUUGAUAGUAGACACUUACCAGACGUGGACAAAUUAUUGUA